rnacentral:rRNA from 1 species
AUGCCCGCACUUUCCAUAUGGAGCUGGGAGCGUUUGCCGGUUAGACAACCGAAGACCGUGAAGUACGAGGAUUGGGACGACAAAAAUGACCCACUAUGGCGCCCCACUUGGGCUUACAAGUGGGAUGUGUUAAAUGAGACGACGGAUGAUCCGUCGGUCAUGUACAAGUUGUACAAGAGCGAGCUGGACGUGAUCACGCCUGAGCAGGUGAAUUGA